GGUGGAGGGAGGGGGAGGGGGCUCCUUUUUCUCAUUUUCAUUUUCCCUUUUCUUGUAACUGUUUUUUUGGUAAUAAACUUGAGCAUAUCAAAAUACCCUCACAAAAAGAGGUCUCGCAUGUUGAGUGACGAUUUAACUGAAUUUGGCCCCCAUUAAUUUCCAUUCCAUUACAUUUCGUUUUUUUCUCUUCUAUUUUUAACCACAUAAUCUUCCAUAAAAUAAUAUUGCACGUUAACCGAAAACCUUUCCUUCUUUUUCAAUCACUCAUUUUUAAAAAAAAAAACACUAUUCUAACCAUUUUCAUUUCCACAAAAUGGGGGCUUGGAUUCUUCCGUCUUAUUGGACUGACACCAAAAAUUGAAGGUUUUGGGUUUUUUUAUUUUUAUUCUUUUAUUUUUUUAUGUACAUAUUUUACCAGUACAUUUCAAAUGAAUGGAGAAUAAGGUUAGGUUUCGAACAGUAUCUCAGAAGAUAGGGAUUGAUGAUAAGAAUUUGAUUUAAAUAAGAUUUCAGUGUUUCUUUCUAAGAUAGAAUUUUAUCAUUUUAAUAGUUGUUAUUUACGAUAAGUUCUAUACUUUAUAAAUAGGAUGUAUGAACAUUCGCUUGUAUUUGAACUAUUAUUAUUGAUGUUUGAUAAUUAAGAUUGAUAUUUAAUUACAGAUUUUCCCCUUCAAAUUGUCUGCUCGUCUCUCUGUUUAUCUUUCUGUGUUAAGUACCCAUCACUUGUGGACCUGGAACAUUUCAUUUACUUGUACUAACUUUUGAGUGAUGUCUCUGCAUUCAUUAAUUUGUACAAUUACACUGUUAUAUAUACCCAUUUUUUUUCUAUUUAAUGCAGAGAGGAUGGUACCAUAAUGUUGUUUACUUGGGAAAGGAGAACAAUAUUCCAAUUCUAACAAUGACGUAAGCAUAUAUGCCUACCAUCUCUAGCAUUAUUAUGAAAGAUUCGAGUAGUAUAGUUUAUUUAUCAUAUUUUAACUGAUAUGAAUUCAGGUGCACUCUUUCGGAUAUUGAAAACUUCAAGUCUGGUAAAUUGCCUGUAAAAUCACCUGCCAAAGCGUAUGCCAAUACCUUGGUUAAAGGACUUGUAGAAGGAAAACAGCUGUCGGAAGCGGAAGCAAUAGCAUACAUAGAGGAAGCAUCUACAAAGCCACUAUAAAUUCUGUUGCUCGCUCUCAUUUAAAAUUCUUCACCGUCUUUUGUGUAACUUAGAGAUGCUCAAGCUGUAGCAUUUCUACUCCAUUGCAACACUCAAGGUGUGAUUUAGGAAAAUCUCCUGUUUGAUGCUUUCAAACUGAUUUACUGUUGCAUAAGUUAUUUUGCUGCUUUGAAGAUAGAUUGCUGUUAAGUGUUGCAUCCAAGAUCUGGUGUUUCUGGUGCAUGUGAUUAUUUACUGGAUAAGUUGCAUCACGAACGUCCAACAUAUGGUUUAUCUAGUGCAUAUGUGAUGAUUUUGGUUUAUUAAUAUCAAUAUAUUUAUACUAC
rnacentral:lncRNA from 1 species